CAGUAGCCGCGGUAAUACGGAGGAUCCAAGCGUUAUCCGGAUUUAUUGGGUUUAAAGGGUGCGUAGGUGGCCUGUUAAGUCAGGGGUGAAAGACGGUAGCUCAACUAUCGCAGUGCCCUUGAUACUGAUGGGCUUGAAUGAACUAGAGGUAGGCGGAAUGUGACAAGUAGCGGUGAGAUGCAUAGAUAUGUCACAGAACACCAAUUGCGAAGGCAGCUUACUAUGGUUUUAUUGACACUGAGGCACGAAAGCGUGGGGAUCAAACAGGAUUAGAGACCCCAGUAGUCCCUGUCUCUUAUAA
rnacentral:rRNA from 1 species